GACAUACCACUCCUCCAAUGGUCAGCAGGCACUGCUCUGCCCCGUACAGCUGGUACCGCCCAUACUGAGACAGGGAGAGGGGACAUUUGUCCUGAUGGACACAAAACACCCAUUAAGCAAACA